CAGUAAAAUUAAUCAACACUCGGAAGCAUAACCACUCAUAGGGUUGAUGGAAUCAACCAGUAGGUGAUAAUUAGAACCAACCAGAAGCUUUUUCUCAAAACUUAAAUGUAAAUUUCCUGUGUGUUAGAAACCACACACUAAAACACCCUCCCACAUCAUGCAGCUUUCCUUGUUCUUUUUUGUAUCCUCACAGUUUGGCAGGUCCUGUAUUGGCCACAAGAAAAACCAAGAGCAUCCAACCCUCACCAAAUAUUGCUUUCACAUAUUUCUGGCUCAUCCAAACUUAGAAAGCACCGGAAAUACAAGCUGAGCCUGAACUUCGGAAAUUCUCAAGCCUGUUUUUCAGGCCCAGGAGUUAGGGGAAAAAUAUCUGAGCUCUUGGAUUCUUUUUCCAAACGGAUGAUUCUGUGGUUUCUCCGCCAGCGAGUGCUGCAGUGGCUGGGUCCGCAUGCAGACGUUAGAAAGGGCAAGGCUCAGUGCUGCAGACUGGAGCGAGGAGCAUGUUCAAGUCCUGCAGGCAGGAGCAAGAUGUGAGCACCCCAGCUCAGGAAACAAGUGUCGCAGUUUUGCAGUUGUGUGGGGAACAACGUCUUCAGAAUGACUUGCUGUUGUGGCUUUGAUGAUUUCUUCAGACACUGAAUUAGUCACCCAAUAUGGCACAGAGAUAAGAUGCCAUCCACAGCUACCCAAAAGCCCAGACAGCAGUCAUUAACAGAAGCCUGACGACCUUCACAUUGGAGGUGAGACAACUGCAUUGAUUUCCUUCUCUCCAUCAAAAGUUUGCUUUGUCCUCAAAAGGGAAGACAAGGACCUGCCUGGUUUUGAUUCCAGCUGCUUCUCCUGGUCUUUAUGUGACAGGAACAGGUCCUUGGGGCAGAACUCAUGUUGCUGGAUGAGAACUGUCCCAGUCACACUAGGAAUCUCACGCUGUUGCUAUAGGAAGAUGGGGUCAGGGGAGCUGCAUUCUCAAAGUUCCUCUACUGGUGGCAGAGGAAAUCUCA